GUCAGUGUGGUGUAGUGGUUUGAAUGCUGGACUAUGAUUCCAAAGUCCAGUGAUUGAUUCCCAGCUUGGCCA